UAUGUACUCUCUCCGUCUCAAAAUUCUUGUCAUAAAUUUGUCUAGAUACGAAUAUAUCUAAUACUAAAACGUAACUAGAUACAUCUAUAUCUAGACAAUUAAGACAAAAAUUUUGGGACGAAGGGAGUAUUAA
rfam:Triticum aestivum genome assembly, contig: Triticum_aestivum_CS42_TGACv1_scaffold_223070_3B